rnacentral:rRNA from 1 species
AUUGAACGCUGGCGGCAUGCCUUACACAUGCAAGUCGAACGGCAGCACGGGUGCUUGCACCUGGUGGCGAGUGGCGAACGGGUGAGUAAUACAUCGGAACAUGUCCUGUAGUGGGGGAUAGCCCGGCGAAAGCCGGAUUAAUACCGCAUACGCUCUACGGAUGAAAGCGGGGGCCCUUCGGGCCUCGCGCUAUAGGGUUGGCCGGUGGCUGAUUAGCUAGUUGGUGGGGUAAAGGCCUACCAAGGCGACGAUCCGUAGCUGGUCUGAGAGGACGACUAGGAACACUGGAACUUGGACACGGUCGAGACUCGUAAGGGCGGGAGCAGUGGGGAAUAGUGGACAAUGGGCGAAGGCCUGAUCCAGCCAUGCCGCGUGUGUGAAGAAGGGCCCCGGAUGGGGAAGAAGGUUAAGGUGGGAGGAAGGGCAAUAAGUUAAUACCUUGCGGUUUUGACGUUACCAAAAGAAUAAGCACCGGCUAACUUCGUG